rfam:Homo sapiens chromosome 18, GRCh38 reference primary assembly.
GCUGGGAGUGGUGGCGCGUGCCUGUAAUCCCGGCUACUCAGGAGGCUGAGACAGGAGAAUCGCUUGAACCCAGGAAGCAGAGGUGGCAGUGAGCUGAGAUCGAGCCACUGCUCUCCAGCCUGGGUGACAGAGUGAGACUCCGUCUCAA